rnacentral:rRNA from 1 species
GGCGAACGCUGGCGGCGUGCUUAACACGUGCGAGUCGAACGGAAAGGCCCUGCUUUUGUGGGGUGCUCGAGUGGCGAACGGGUGAGUAACACGUGAGUAACCUGCCCUUGACUUUGGGAUAACUUCAGGAAACUGGGGCUAAUACCGGAUAGGAGCUCCUGCUGCAUGGUGGGGGUUGGAAAGUUUCGGCGGUUGGGGAUGGACUCGCGGCUUAUCAGCUUGUUGGUGGGGUAGUGGCUUACCAAGGCUUUGACGGGUAGCCGGCCUGAGAGGGUGACCGGCCACAUUGGGACUGAGAUACGGCCCAGACUCCUACGGGAGGCAGCAGUGGGGAAUAUUGCACAAUGGGCGGAAGCCUGAUGCAGCAACGCCGCGUGCGGGAUGACGGCCUUCGGGUUGUAAACCGCUUCCGCCUGUGACGAAGCGUGAGUGACGGUAAUGGGUAAAGAAGCACCGGCUAACUACGUG